AGUCGUAAACCAGGUAGCCGUAUCGGAAGGUGCGGCUGGAUCACCUCCUUUUGAGCAUGACGUCAUCGUCCUGUCGGGCGUCCUCACAAAUUACCUGCAUUCAGAGAUGCGUAUCGGCACAGGCCGGUAUGCGAAAGUCCCAUCAUGGGGCCUUAGCUCAGCUGGGAGAGCACCUGCUUUGCAAGCAGGGGGUCGUCGGUUCGAUCCCGACAGGCUCCACCAUUUGAGUGAAACGACUUUGGGUCUGUAGCUCAGGUGGUUAGAGCGCACCCCUGAUAAGGGUGAGGUCGGUGGUUCGAGUCCUCCCAGACCCACCACUCUGAAUGUAGUGCACACUUAAGAAUUUAUAUGGCUCAGCGUUGAGGCUGAGACAUGUUCUUUUAUAACUUGUGACGUAGCGAGCGUUUGAGAUAUCUAUCUAAACGUGUCGUUGAGGCUAAGGCGGGGACUUCGAGUCCCUAGAAAUUGAGUCGUAUGUUCGCGUUGGUGGCUUUGUACCCCACACAACACGGCGUAUGGCCCCGAGGCAACUUGGGGUUAUAUGGUCAAGCGAAUAAGCGCACACGGUGGAUCCCUUGGCACA
rnacentral:tRNA from 1 species